UACAGAGGGGGCAAGCGUUGUUCGGAAUUACUGGGCGUAAAGGGCGCGUAGGCGGCCCGCUAAGUCGAACGUGAAAUCCCCGAGCUCAACCUGGGAACUGCAUUUGUGACUGCACGGCUGGAGUGCGGCAGAGGGGGAUGGAAUUCCGCGUGUAGCAGUGAAAUGCGUAGAUAUGCGGAGGAACACCGAUGGCGAAGGCAAUCCCCUGGACCUGUACUGACGCUCAUGCACGAAAAGCGUGGGGGAGCAAACAGGG
rnacentral:rRNA from 1 species